rnacentral:lncRNA from 1 species
CAUUUCCAACGAGCCAGCGGGGGCAAAAGAUGGCGACGCCCCUUGGGUGGUCGCAGGGGGGCUCUGGAUCAGUGUGUCUCGCCUUCGAUCAACUGCGGGACGUGAUUGAAUCUCAGGAGGAACUUAUCCACCAGCUGAGGAAUGUGGUAGGCAGCCAGGGCUUGGGGAAAGGCCGCGCUGGACGCCUCACCGGUGGGGGCAGGGCCAGGCGCUCGUGGAUGUAGGGGCCGUGGCUAGUAUACACCGUGAAGGGGGUCAUCCCAGAGGCUGGGCUCACCUAGCCAGGGGCAGAACCAAGAAGACGGCUGCUUUCCUGAACGUUACCAAAUCGGGCAAUAUUCCCCACUCUGCCUGGUUGGUGAAGGGACUGACAGAUAACCAGUGAACUUCAGUGUCUCCACGUUUAGCGGUAGAGACCUCACCGACUCCCCAAGGCAACCUGCGCACCGAAACCAGAUCAUUCCUUAAGCCGCACACCUUUCCAGUGUCAAAAGCAGUGCGAAUACAAGCUUGGCCUUUCACGGUGCAGAUUUAAGGGCCUCCAAACUUUCCUGUGCCUUUGUUUCUAACCUCAGUUAGUUAGUGGGUGCCACGCUAAUGGCGUCAUAGUUACAUCAGUGCCGGGUCCGCUGGAGGUCAUGGGCUUUGUGGUUGUUGUUUCUCUUUUGGUAACAAUGUUGGAAUGCAUCUCUCUCUCUCAAAAC